GAGAGUUCAAGAGGGCGUGAAACCGCUUGGAAGCAAACGGAUGGACCUGACGGAGAGUCACUGGGAUUCAGCCCUCUGCUGUACCCCAGCCUGCUGGCUGAUCUUCUGACAGCCUAGUGGGUGUUGGUGUGCUCAGUGGGUGCAUUUCCUGGUGAUGCGCAUCAGAGCCUGUGAUGGCGCUGGAGUCAGGGUGGAUGCUUGCCGGCCAACUUCGGUUGGUGUCCCAGCACUGCCCAAAACCGAGUCGCUGUUACAGGGCUUUUGGAGGUGCCCGCCCUACUCUAAGAGGCUGGGGGCUUGUCCAGAUCAACUGUGAGGUUGUGCUUGCACGGCUUUGCGACCCCUGGGUGAGUCAUUGGCCCAUUUAGAGCAGGUGCCUUUCUCUGGUGUUUUAGUCAGUCACCCAUCCGACCCGUCUUGAAACACGGACCAAGGAGUCUAACAUGUGCGCGAGUCACUGGGUCGCAAAACCCAAGGGCGCAAUGAAAGUAAAGUUCAGUUCGGCUGAACGACAUGGGACCCUUCCCUUUGACGGGGAGGUGCACCAUGGUCCCGUCUAUGCUGCAUUGCCAGCUGGGCGGAGAUAGAGCGUACACGUUGGGACCCGAAAGAUGGU
rnacentral:rRNA from 1 species